GGCCCUGUGGCGCAGUUGGUUAGCGCGCCGCCCUGUCACGGCGGAGGUC
rnacentral:tRNA from 1 species